rnacentral:rRNA from 1 species
AUACGUAGGGGGCGAGCGUUGUCCGGGAUUAUUGGGCGUAAAGGGUGCGUAGGCGGCAUUUUAAGUCACAUGUGAAACUCCUCGGCUCAACCGGGGACUUGCAUGUGAAACUAGAAUGCUUGAGUUCAGGAGAGGAGAACGGAAUUCCUGGUGUAGCGGUGAAAUGCGUAGAUAUCAGGAGGAACACCAGUGGCGAAGGCGGUUCUCUGGACUGCAACUGACGCUGAGGCACGAAAGCUGGGGUAGCGAACAGGAUUAGAUACCCUGGUAGUCCCAGCCGUAAACGAUGGAUACUAGGUGUAGGCACCGAUGAAGGUGUCUGUGCCGCAGUUAACGCAUUAAGUAUCCCGCCUGGGGAGUACGGUCGCAAGGCUGUA